rnacentral:rRNA from 1 species
AUUGAACGCUGGCGGCAUGCCUUACACAUGCAAGUCGAACGGUAACAGGUCUUCGGAUGCUGACGAGUGGCGAACGGGUGAGUAAUACAUCGGAACGUGCCUAGUAGUGGGGGAUAACUACUCGAAAGAGUGGCUAAUACCGCAUGAGAUCUACGGAUGGAAGCAGGGGAUCGCAAGACCUUGUGCUACUAGAGCGGCCGAUGGCAGAUUAGGAAGUUGGUGGGAUAAAAGCUUACCAAGCCGACGAUCUGUAGCUGGGCGGAGAGGACGAUCAGCCACACUGGGACUGAGACACGGCCCAGACUCCUACGGGAGGCAGCGGUGGGGAAUUUUGGACAAUGGGCGCAAGCCUGAUCCAGCAAUGCCGCGUGCAGGAUGAAGGCCUUCGGGUUGUAAACUGCUUUUGUACGGAACGAAAAGCCCCGGGUUAAUACCCUGGGGUCAUGACGGUACCGUAAGAAUAAGCACCGGCUAACUACGUGCCAGCAGCCGCCGCUG